CUUCCAUUUAUCUGCGUACCUUUCGAUAAGCAUAUAUAGCUAGGAGUACUUGAAGGCAAUUCUAAUGUUCAAAAAAAUGUACUCAUCCUUGGUCCAAAAACACAGAUCCAUUUUCACCUCCAAGCGUCAGUCUUGUUCUUCUCCUCUAAUCUUCAGUUAUUAAGGAUCUUUUCCAGCUUCGAGUACUGUUUUCUUUUACUCUGAAAUUGUUUUAGAUUCUCUCUUAAGCGGAACUAAAGAAGUGUUUUAAUUAGAGAGUGUACAUGUUUGGUUUAGUGUAGUUUGAUUAUUAUAGCUAAUAGCUAGAUGGUUAAGUUUACUUGUGAAUAAUGAGAAAAUAUCUUCAACAAAUUUUUCUCGAUUGAUCUUAAUCUCUUUAGUCUGUAAUAUGGUAUCAGAGCCAUCAAAGCUCGAUUUCUCUUGAUUUUGCUUUGAUUCCAUCUUCUCUGACAUUCAAUCUCGUUUAGAUUUACUUGAUUUUAGCUUUGAUGGUGUUGAUUGCAAAGAUUCCUCGCCGCUCUAGUUUGUUAUAGUUUUCUAAAGUUCAGAUUUUUGUUUUUUAAAGCUCAGAUUUUUAUAGAGUAUAGACAAACGUAAGGUGUUUUUUUAAAAAUUUUGAGAGAACAUAUUUCAUGUUAUGAAUUUGUUUACAUGUAUGAUGAAUAAAUCUAUGGAUUGGAAACACAUGCCUGAUAAAUUUUAUUUUAUUCAUUUAGUAAUAAGAUCCAGUUUUGUGAAUCUAGCAUGUAAGUUAAGAUUGGUUUAUGGGCAACAGGUUCUGUUCAAUUAUUAUGACACACUUUGUGAUUUCUAGUGUGAUUUUCCUGCGAUAUACUUGUGAUUUUCCUGAAACUUUUACAUACAUGUGAUUUUCAUUUGGUUUUCUUGUGACAUACUUUUGAUUUUCCUGAAACUUUUACUUUGUGUUUCUUCAUUCUUCAAAUAAAUGAGAAUGCUCGGGAAAGAUCUUUCCGAACGAGGACAACAAAGGCUUUCCAUUUUACUCAUACCACUAACUCAAUCAAUGCGAUUCAUUUUUUUAGUGAUGACCGCCAUGGGUACACAAAUGCCAGUGGUUUGCCUCAACGACUGGUCGUGUCGUGAGAAGGUAUAUCAAAGACAACAAGGUAGCAACUAUUGAUGAUAUGGCUCAAAUUGCUCUUGCGUCACAGUUUGUGGAUGGGAUAACAAACUCUUUGAAUACAUCCAUGGGUCUCUUCGCUAAUGAGUCUCCCUUGAAAGCCCACAUUUUUAUUCUUUUAGUCAUAUUGAAGUUAAUCCAUGUCAAAAUGAGUCACUAAAAAGGAAUCACAAUUUUACCGUUAUCCGAGAUAGCAAAUGAUGUUGUCAUCGUUGUAGACUUGAAACGCACAUUAUAUUACACGGCGUCUUACGUCAUUCGGAUUUUAAAA